CGCAGAGCAACAGGUGACCGCCGGCCGAAUGGCGGGAGGAAAGUCCGAGCUCCGUAGGGCAGGGUGCCGGGUAACGCCCGGUGAGGGUGACCUCGAGGAAAGUGCAACAGAGAACAUACCGCGACCCCCGCUUGUCGGGGACGUAAGGGUGAAAAGGCGGGGUAAGAGCCCACCGCGCACGCGGUAACGCGUGUGGCACGGCAAACCCCACCCGGAGUAAGGCCGAAUAAAGGGACGCCGCGACGCCUUGGCGCCGCGAUACGAUGGCCCGUCGAAUGUCCCCGGGUUGGCUGCUGCUGAGGCGCUUCGGUAACGAAGCCCCUAGAGGAAUGGUCACCACCGGCUCGCGGGCGACCGCGCGCCGAGACAGAACUCGGCUUAUGGAGCUCUGCGACCA
rnacentral:RNase_P_RNA from 1 species